rnacentral:rRNA from 1 species
AGAGUUUGAUCAUGGCUCAGGAUGAAUGCUGGCGGCGCGCCUAACACAUGCAAGUCGAGCGGUAACAGGGGUAAUUUAUUACCUGCUGACGAGCGGCGGACGGCUGAGUAACGCGUGGGAACAUGCCCCAAAGUGAGGAAUAACUGCCCGAAAGGGUGGCUAAUGCCGCAUAUGAUCUUCGGAUUAAAGGAUUUAUCCGCUUUGGGAGUGGCCCGCGUACGAUUAGGUAGUUGGUGAGGUAAAGGCUCACCAAGCCCACGAUCGUUAACUGGUCUGAGAGGAUGAUCAGUCAGACUGGAACUGAGACACGGUCCAGACUCCUACGGGAGGCAGCAGUGAGGAAUCUUCCACAAUGGGCGAAAGCCUGAUGGAGCGACGCCGCGUGCAGGAUGAAGGCCUUCGGGUUGUAAACUGCUUUUAUAAGUGAAGAAUAUGACGGUAACUUAUGAAUAAGCACCGGCUAACUACGUGCCAGCAGCCGCGGUCAUACGUAGGGUGCAAGCAUUAUCCGGAGUGACUGGGCGUAAAGAGUUGCGUAGGUGGACAAGUAAGCGAAUAGUGAAAUGUGGCGGCUCAACCGUACACACUAUUAUUCGAACUGCUUGUCUCGAGAAUGGUAGAGGUAACUGGAAUUUCUAGUGUAGGAGUGAAAUCCGUAGAUAUUAGAAGGAACACCAAUGGCGUAGGCAGGUUACUGGACCAUUUCUGACACUGAGGCACGAAAGCGUGGGGAGCGAACCGGAUUAGAUACCCCGGUAGUCC